GUUCUGAACCCGCUGAACGUUCUCCGCCUGCUGCUCCGAGUGGUCCUUCUGAGCUUGCAGCUCGGCCACCUCUGCCUGCAGAGCCUUCGAGCGCAAGACCUCUUCCAAUCUGGCGAAGCGUUCUCUGACUGGACCCUCCAUCUCCUGUUGCACCUGAGCUCUGAGCAACUCCAGACGCUGAGGAGUCAUCACCUGAAUUUCUCUUGUGCGCUCAGCUAACUGCAACUGGAGCCUCUCGAGUUGAGCCUGCAGAUGCCGUACCUCCUCUUGUACCUGGAUGAACUCCUCCUGCAGGCUGAGGAAAAAGUAUUUUGUUAAAUGUCGGAUGUUGAUUGAACAUAUCCAUUCUCGUGCUAGAUCGUACCUGGUGUGUUCGGUUUUAAGUGUCUCAUAGUUGCCUCGAUGGAGUUCACACUUGGUCCUCUCGUCCAUGAGCAUCUUCUGCAGCUCCAUCUCGGCCCCGGCAGACAAUCCCGGCAUGAUUGCGGACGUCCCCAGCGGAAAAGACUGCUGGAGGGCCGAGGAGCUCAUGUCACCUCUAAUAGACGUCAAAAAAGGACAAAGGUCUCGCCGCUGCGCAACACAACAAAACGCACUUUUGCUCUAUAACUGGGAGCAAAUGAAUUUUGACGUGGAAGGACCACCUUCUUCUCGGCAGACGCUGCUCUCUGCAGUUUGUCUUUCAGCUGGGUGUAUUUAUCUUCCAGCUUGGCUUCUCGCUCCUUUCUGUCCUCCACCAGCCUGGGGGAGGAGCAAGAAUUGGGACGAUCAUUUGCUUCCAUCAGCUCCGCUUCAGACCAUGACAGCGCCCCCAGCUCCUCCAGAGGAGCACUUUGCUGUUUUAAUUUAGCUCUGACAAGAUCAAAUGUUUGACAUUCAGCCACGUUUAGAGUUCUUUGGGUUGAAACCAGGAAAAAAAAAAAGUUGUCUGGUGAGCUGGUUGUUCUGCUCCAGGCUGAGAUGAAGUUCGCUCUCCAUGCGCUCCAGUCGCAUCGCCAUGCACUGGCGCUCUGACUACAAGCGGCUUCCAUUAAAACAUCUAACUCACCUUCCGAGAUACCGGCGGUCUCACCUCCAGCGACUUCACCAUGGCCUGAGACUCGCUCAUCCACCUCCGCCUGUAGACCUUUCAGCAACAUGGUGAGCUGCGUUUUCUCCUUGAGCAGAAACUCCACUUGCUUCCUUUCGUACAGCGGAUCUACGUUCUUGAACUGCGCCGCCAGAUUUUCCUUCUCUUUCUUCAGAUGAGCAAUCUAACAGGUUUCACACUUCCCCUGAAGAUCAGACAGCAUGUGAUGAAGCGCCAUCCCGGUCGCAGGAACCAUCGGCAGGUUGGAAGCGUCCAUUUUGAUAUAAACUAUAAAGUAAUAAAUGAGGGAGGCAAGCUUAUGCUAUGUUUUGUGUCCUAACAUCAAAGUUAAUAAGGUGACAUGGGAUCAGAGGUAUGAUGUCAUAAACAGGGUGCGUUUGAGUGCCUUCUGGUAAAUGGGAAUUCUCAACUUCAUAUGUUGAAAGUGCAAUUCGUUGAAACGUAACAAAUUAUAACAGAAAUAUAAUGGUUAACUGCUGUCAAAUGGUGUUAUCGUUGCUUGCAAGUCAGUGAGUACGUUGAUUAAAAAAAAAUCCAAUAAAAAAUAACGACGCAUUGAUUCCUGAGUUGUGCAAUAACUUGCCAAUCGUAACUUUAUUCCCUCAUAAAACAAAAAUGAUGCAAUGAUCAUAAAUAAAAUGUAAACACCAAAAGAGGUUUAAUGGAAAAAAAUUCAACUGUUGAAACAUAAUGUGCACAACAGCAAGUCUCCAAAUUUACAGGGAAUCAUUGUAAACAGAUUUAUUACAAAACAUGAUCCAAAAUGGGG